AACGUAGGAGGCAAGCGUUAUCCGGAUUUACUGGGCGUAAAGCGCGUGCAGGCGGUUCGGUAAGUCGGACGUGAAAGCUCCUGGCUCAACUGGGAGAGGCCGUUCGAAACUACCGGACUAGAGGGCAGGAGAGGGAGGUGGAAUUCCGGGUGUAGCGGUGAAAUGCGUAGAUAUCCGGAGGAACACCAGUGGCGAAGGCGGCCUCCUGGUCUGCCCCUGACGCUCAGACGCGAAAGCUAGGGGAGCGAACGGG
rnacentral:rRNA from 1 species